UACGUAGGGGGCGAGCGUUAUCCGGAUUCACUGGGUGUAAAGGGAGCGUAGACGGCCGAUCAAGUCUGGAGUGAAAGCCCGGGGCCCAACCCCGGGACUGCUCUGGAAACUGGUGGGCUAGAGUGCUGGAGAGGUAAGUGGAAUUCCUAGUGUAGCGGUGAAAUGCGUAGAUAUUAGGAGGAACACCAGUGGCGAAGGCGGCUUACUGGACAGUGACUGACGUUGAGGCUCGAAAGCGUGGGGAGCAAACA
rnacentral:rRNA from 1 species